rnacentral:rRNA from 1 species
CCUACGGGAGGCAGCAGUAGGGAAUAUUGCUCAAUGGGGGAAACCCUGAAGCAGCAACGCCGCGUGGAGGAUGAAGGCUUUCGGAUUGUAAACUCCUUUUGUUAGAGAAGAUAAUGACGGUAUCUAACGAAUAAGCACCGGCUAACUCCGUGCCAGCAGCCGCGGUAAUACGGAGGGUGCAAGCGUUACUCGGAAUCACUGGGCGUAAAGAGCGCGUAGGCGGGAUAGCAAGUCAGAUGUGAAAUCCUAUGGCUAAACCAUAGAACUGCAUUUGAAACUGUUAUUCUAGAGUAUGGGAGAGGUAAGUGGAAUUCUUGGUGUAGGGGUAAAAUGCGUAGAGAUCAAGAGGAAUACUCAUUGCGAAGGCGACCUGCUAGAACAUAACUGACGCUGAUGCGCGAAAGCGUGGGGAGCAAACAGGAUUAGAUACCCUUGUAGUC